rnacentral:misc_RNA from 1 species
UUUGAAUUUCUUCCCUGUUUCUCAACACACCUACUGCCUCUUUAAGUCACCCAUAUAGGGUGAUUUGAUUGCAUCACUGUCCCCUUUUUAGAUUUGAAUCCGGUGACUAGAAAUGCAACGUGUGGCUCUCAUGCACCGUUCGUUGGUCUGCAUCUUUGGUCCAUGCGCCAAUGCGUGCGGUGUUUUCUGGUGUUGUCCUAUAGUUGCUCCUCUUGCUUUCUGCGUUGCCUCGGCAUGUUGGUUGCAGCCCUAUGAGCUGUGUUGGGUUUUGGGGUUUUUCUUUUGGUGGUG